CCUACGGGUGGCAGCAGUGGGGAAUAUUGGACAAUGGGGGGAACCCUGAUCCAGCCAUGCCGCGUGUGUGAAGAAGGCCCUCGGGUUGUAAAGCACUUUCAGUGAGGAAGAACGCCUGGUGGUUAAUACCCAUCAGGAAAGACAUCACUCACAGAAGAAGCACCGGCUAACUCCGUGCCAGCAGCCGCGGUAAUACGGAGGGUGCGAGCGUUAAUCGGAAUUACUGGGCGUAAAGCGCGCGUAGGUGGCCUGAUAAGCCGGUUGUGAAAGCCCCGGGCUCAACCUGGGAACGGCAUCCGGAACUGUCAAGCUAGAGUGCAGGAGAGGAAGGUAGAAUUCCCGGUGUAGCGGUGAAAUGCGUAGAGAUCGGGAGGAAUACCAGUGGCGAAGGCGGCCUUCUGGACUGACACUGACACUGAGGUGCGAAAGCGUGGGUAGCAAACAGGAUUAGAUACCCGAGUAGUC
rnacentral:rRNA from 1 species